rnacentral:rRNA from 1 species
UACGUAGGGGGGCUAGCGUUGUCCGGAAUCAUUGGGCGUAAAGAGCGUGUAGGCGGCCCGGUAAGUCCGCUGUGAAAGUCGGGGGCUCAACCCUCGGAUGCCGGUGGAUACUGUCGGGCUCGAGUACGGAAGAGGCGAGUGGAAUUCCUGGUGUAGCGGUGAAAUGCGCAGAUAUCAGGAGGAACACCAAUUGCGAAGGCAGCUCGCUGGGACGUUACUGACGCUGAGACGCGAAAGCGUGGGGAGCAAACAGG